GCCUACGGGGGGCAGUAGUGAGGAAUAUUGGUCAAUGGGCGAGAGCCUGAACCAGCCAAGUCGCGUGAAGGAUGACGGCCCUACGGGUUGUAAACUUCUUUUGUCAGGGAGCAAUUGAGUCCACGUGUGGUCUUAGCGAGAGUACCUGAAGAAAAAGCAUCGGCUAACUCCGUGCCAGCAGCCGCGGUAAUACGGAGGAUGCGAGCGUUAUCCGGAUUUAUUGGGUUUAAAGGUGCGUAGGCGGACUGUUAAGUCAGCGGUAAAAGCCCGGGGCUCAACCCCGGCGAGCCGUUGAAACUGGCUGU
rnacentral:rRNA from 1 species